CUGAAAGAUGGAGAAACUAAUAGCACCAGCUUCAAUCAAUGUGCAUUUUUCCAAGAACAUUACUUCUAAGAAGUCAUUUAAACCUCAAACAUCCCCGCAAGAUCUCAUCGCUCAGCACUGAGCUGGUCUCUAGUUUCAAAUCAAAUCACAGGAAUUAUGCCACGUCUGUGGAAAUCACAGAGAAUGGAGAGAGGAAGUAUUACAAGAACUAAUGAAUCACAUUUCUUCCCCGAUUUCUACGCUUGGAGCAAAGCAUAAGCUUGUGGUGAAGGCAAUGCUUGGAUUCAUACCUGUACUGCAGCAUGGAAAGACGGAAAGUCAGCAGCAAGUCAGCUGACCAUGCAAAAAUAGCCAAAUGUCCAUCACUGUGGUUCUCCUCUGUCAAAAAUAAAUGGGUGUCUGCUUCAAUUAGUCAUUUUUCAUCGUUAGAUGUGUUAAGACCUUAGAACUCAGAAGCAGCAGAGUGCCUACGAGUCAGAUUUAAGAGCCUCCUGAUUUUCACUGCACCUUGCACCAGGUCAGAUUCAAGGCUUGAUUUGUGUUUGAUUCAAGGCUUGGCUUCAUUCUGCUCAGGACUCAGAGGUGCUGGAUCUGAUACUGCACCUGUUUGGAAGGUGCCUGCUGUGUUCCUCCUCUGUAGGGACUGUGGUUUGCAAUUAAAGAGAUUAAUUUUGUGCCAACACCUGAAUCCAUGCAUCCAAAUGUCCUGUUGGAGGCAGCUUCUAAGUCACAGAAGACAUGCAGACCCAUCUCAUCAGAGUCACAAGUCACUGCUCACCACAACCCACGUUAAGUGGCAGGACCUCCUCACAGCCUGCAGCCAUCUUGUCUCUGGGUGGCUCUGACGAACUUCCAAUAUUCUCACAAGACAGUGCUCUUGCCACUUCUAAAAUGAUUCAAAACACAGAUCCCCCGAAAGAGUCCCAAAGAGAUCAUCAGUGAAGACGGUGCCACAGGCAACGAGUGUCCAGCUUCCAAUGGGAGGUGAAAUCUGAAGGGUCUGUUUUUUCUGGGCACCAGGAGCGUGGUAUGGGAAGCAUCUAAGUGCUGGAGCCAAGGAGGGCUAGAGGUGAAGUCUCAGCCCCACUAUUCACUGUGGCUUCAGGGGCAAAGCAGGAGCUGGUCUGACCCUUCACUUCCUCAUCGGUAAAAUGGGUAUGAGCUUCCUUCCUAUCAAUGUCUAAGAAAUCUUCUCCAAAGUCCACACUGAAUUACUCCGGAACUUACAGUCGGCACCAAAGUGUCAGGCAUUUCAUGUACACCCCUCUGGGGCUUCCAGAUUGACAGCUAAGAUCUCCCCAGCCUUCCCAAAUAGAUGGUAUGCUCUUGGAGUGCAAAGGCCGUACUGCCUGCAUUUUCUUUCCCCCAGCACCUCAGCUCAGGGCUGAACACACAAGUCGGCGCUCAGUAAAUGCCUGGCUCCUGACCGACUGGGCAAUCACCACUUCUUCCGAAGACGAGCACGUUUGUCAUCUGUCUGCUUCUCUGAAUGCCAGUGCCUCCACAAGCUGUCAUGUUCCAUGAUUAUUCUCCCCAAAGCAUGUGCUGUUAAUUUUUCAUCUUAAUGAACUGUCCAGUUGAGUUUAGCAACGGGAAUAGUGAUAGAGGCACAGUAAAAAUGGCUUAUGUCCUGCUAUCGUCAGAAGCCUUCUCCCCACAACACUGGCACAUAAUUGGAAUAAAAUAUCUCAAUGGCUACAAACAUCAUUUGUCAACAAUGAAGUGGGAAAAAGGAGCUCAUACAGGCAAAGAUGCCCAGGGCCCAUGAAGACAUAUCAAGACCCCCAAGGUACCAAGGCACUCAGGAGUCAGGAACCCCACCUGGAAGAGAGGAUCCUUCACAGCAUCUUCAGAUAAAUGGAGACUGAGAAGGAAAACUGAUGCAAGAGGAUGGAGUGUUAAGCAUCAUGAAGCACAGGAUUCUGAGUGCUUUAUACAGAGCUCCUUGACUGUAAGCUCCUUGAAGAAAGGGAAAGAGCCUUUCAUCCCUGCCUGUAUCCUGGCACAUCACAGGCACUUGUUCAAGGAACACUGCCAUCCUGAGUGGAUUGGGGAUCAAGAAUCUGAGUCUUGAGCCAAAGUUGUAGCUUGCUCUGGGAGAAGUCAGCUGCCAUGUCUGAAGUAUGAAUGCUCUAGACCUCCAUGCUGUGAGGAAGCUCCAGCUAGCCAUGUGGAGAAGCUGCAUAGAUAGCGAGAGAGAUGCCCAGCCAUGUCUAGCUGUUCCAGGCAUCCAAGCUGAAGAGCCAGAUGCUAAGUCAAGGUGCCAUCUUGGACAUCCAACCCACUCAAACCUUCAUGUGACUCCAGCCAUCUGACUACACAGCAUGAGAGCCCAAGUAACAACUGCCCAGAUGAUUCACUCAACUCAACUGUAAGAGGAAACAGAGCAUUUGAGCUUUAACAAGCUGAUGAAUAUGGAAUAACUGACUUGAAGUACGGGACCUUCUAGAUUUGUAAAGCAGUAAAGAGAGCAGUCUCUGGAGCGAGUUGCCUGGAUCUGAAUUCGUCCUCCUGUAGUUACUACAAACUGGACAACCUCAGACCAGCUACCUAACUUCUGUAUCCCUCCAUCUCCUCAUCUCUAAAGUGGAGAUAAAAACGGAUUGUUGCUGUGAGAUAAUUCAUAUAGAUUUAUGUACGACGCAUGAAAAAUAACAUGACUUUCCCUGAAGUCCAAAAAAAGCACCCAAGCAGUUGAACAUUAAUAAGAAGCUCCCAUUGACGUACGCUGUGUGUCAUUUUCACCUCUGUUUCCAAGUCCAGCCCUGUCUCAGAAGGGUGAUGCCGACAGACCAAAAAAGAAAACCCUCCUUCUCUGGGGCUCACUGAGCUGCUUUUCCACCUGGAGAAGCCAUCAAUAACCUCCAUCAAUGGCUCACAGACUGAAAAAACGGAGGAUGGGUGGAGAAAAAAAAAAAAAAAGAGAGAGAGAAGAAUAGCUCCCUCUGAUCCAGCCCAUCCUGGGAGAGUGGUAUUUCUAAUCCUGCAGACACAUGGAAAGAGAGCUCUGGCCAACCCCAUUUUUUAAGGCGCAACUAAGACUCAAGAGAGUCUAACCAAUCUCCAGCAGGCAUCUAGGGAGAAUCAGGAGCAUAAAUGGGACCUAGACCUGCCUGACUGCACAUUCCGUACACUUUCCGUAACACCACGUUAUUUCUAAGUGGAAAAAAAUAUCCCGUAGGCUCUUAUUCCUCAGCAAACACUCUAUGCAAAGGUCACGAAGAAGUAAAGCCACCGGCAGGUGUAACUUCCGACUCUACCAUUCCAACGUAUGAACACCUGAAAAUCACUUAAUCCCUUUAAAUGUCAGUUUUCUUAUCUGAGGAAAAAAUGGGUAUAAGCAUCUUUAUUGAUGACUACACAGGGGUGAAAUGAGCUAAUGGAGCAAAGAGCCUGGCACGAUACAGAAGCUCAUUACAUGUGUGUACUUCCUUUCUUGGCUCCAGAAGAAAAUGUGUUUUUUUUUUACCAUAAGGCGCCUGUGGCGGAAAAGUGAAAAUUUAAUGUAAAGAGGAUAAUUAAUAACAAUGAAACUGAAGGUAUUGCAUAGGCUGAUUAUACAUGUGGUACUCAAAUGCAAAAACACAAUGGCAACUGAGAAAAGAAAGGAAAAAUAAAAUUAGUAGAUGGUACAUCUCACCCACACAGUAUCCUAACAAGUUUCUUGCAGUCAAGACAAUGAAAACAGUGAAUUAUGAGGUACCUUAAAAGGAAGUGUACAGGUUUUUACAAUCAACACCACAAGCUUAAAGGAGGAAAUCCUUUUAAAUUAAAUAUUAAGUCAUUAGACAGCUACAGAACUCAGCAAUAUCAAGCUUCCCAUAUAUUUGAUGGGACAGAUAAAACAGCUUUAACAUUAUAUAGUUCACUCUUCUAUUCAUCUUCAAGACUUUGCAGCAUCUUACCUCUUCCUAUCAAGGAUAAAGCCUACUCUUCUCAAAUAUUUUCACUUCAAUUUACGUUGGCCAGAAAUGCAUCUGUACGUUCUCUGUGUGCUUAACACCCACGUCCACAUCAUUCACAGGUAUGGAAACACAGAGACAUUUAGUUCAAGUGUUUCUGAAGCAGAAGGUGGCAAUUAUGUUGAUCCUCGGAUUCUCGGACUAUAAUCACCUGCUUGAGAAACCCCCGCCCCCAGGAGAUGCAUAUCACUGAAAGCAAAUUAUGGCCUCGUCUGUUCGUUCUUCUGGAAAUCACUUCCAUGUCUAUCCCUAGAUAUAGAUAUAUAUCCUGACAAUAUAUAAAAGUCAAAGGAAUCUCCCCAACACUGAGAGUGAAAUCAAGGGAGCUAAAUCUGUGAUGGUGUUUGUCUACAAGACUUCACAGUUUCUUGCCCUCACUCUGCUGUUUCCAUGUGUAGAAAAACAAUUCACAGACCCCUGCUAUGGAGUAAAUAUGAAUAUAUUUAUUGAGCUCAAAACCUCCGCCUUCUGCUUGAGACAUGUGAUACAUCAGUGUUCCUGGUGGCAGCAGGAGCACUUAAUAUAUCAGUGGGGGUAGAAUACCUUCAGUAUUAGCAUCAGCAAAAACACUGCAGUUGUCCCUUGGUAUCUGAGGAGGACUGGUUCCAGGAACCCCACCUGCGGAUACCAAAAUCCAUGGAUGCUCAAGUCCCUUGUAUAAAAUGGUGCAGAUUUUGCGUAUAAUCUACAGACAACCCCUCUAAAUCAUCUCUAGAUUACUUAUAAUACCUAAUAUAAUGUAAAUAGUUGUAAAUACAACGUGAAUGCUAUGUAAAUAGUUGCUGGCAUGCAGCAAAUUCAAGCUUUGAAUUCUGGAACUUUCUGGAAUUGUUUUCCAAGUACUUUUGAUCUGCAGUUGUCUGAAUCCAUGAAUGCAGUGGAUACAGAGGGCUAACUGUGUUUCAUAUUAUGCUAUUACCCUAAUAAAGGGAUAGAGAGUCC